rnacentral:rRNA from 1 species
UAGUCCACGCCCUAAACGAUGGAUACUAGGUGUCCGGGAUAUUAACCUCCUGGGUACUACAGUUAACGCGUUAAGUAUCCCGCCUGGGGAGUACGGUCGCAAGGCUAAAACUCAAAGGAAUUGACGGGGGCCCGCACAAGCGGUGGAGUAUGUGGUUUAAUUCGAUGAUACGCGAGGAACCUUACCUAGGCUCGAACGCUAUUUGACAGUUGCUGAAAGGCAAUUUCUCUUCGGAGCAGAUAGUGAGGUGCUGCAUGGUUGUCGUCAGCUCGUGCCGUGAGGUGUUGGGUUAAGUCCCGCAACGAGCGCAACCCUUAUUCUUAGUUGCCAGCACAUAAUGGUGGGGACUCUAGGAAGACUGCCGGCGUAAGCCGUGAGGAAGGUGGGGACGACGUCAAAUCAUCAUGGCCUUUAUGCCUAGGGCUACACACGUGCUACAAUGGUGCAUACAGCGGGUAGCGAAAUCGCGAGGUGGAGCUAAUCUUGUAAAGUGCAUCCCAGUUCGGA